AGUUUUCGGGGCGUUUUGAUUAGUUUGAAUGUGAAGAAUCAGCUCUCGAUCAGAUCAGUGUCUCACAGCAGAAUGUCCACCGGCAGGACGCUGAUGCAAAGAAACAAAAGACAGGUGUCUCUCAACUUCUCCAUGUUCUGACAUGAUAGAGGACAUGUUAGUGCACGUUAGUCAGAGCGUGCACAGCUGCAGUCUUGUGUAAUAUUUAUGUUCAGUCGGCAUAGAAACAGCUCAGAGGAACUAUUAAAAUAUAUUCAGAUUUAUACGUUUAUAAAUGAAACACGUGGAGGGACACGUGUGUCGUUGUGAUUGUCUGUGUCCUCUUGACCGUCCCCUGACUGUCCUCUGUGUCUCCGUCAGGUCCAGAUCUACGAGCUGGAGGAACAUAAGAUCGAGACGUGGAGAGAGUUGUACCUGCAGGAGACCUUCAAACCUCUGGUCCACAUCUCACCUGACGCCAGUAUAUUUGACGCCGUGUACUCGCUGAUCAAGAAUAAGAUCCAUCGACUUCCUGUCAUUGAUCCGGUGAGCGGGAACGCCCUCUACAUCCUGACCCACAAGAGGAUCCUCAAGUUCCUGCAGCUCUUUGUGAGUCCCCCUGUCCCCCAGCAG